rnacentral:rRNA from 1 species
UACGAAGGGGGCGAGCGUUGUUCGGAUUUACUGGGCGUAAAGGGCGCGUAGGCGGCCUUGUCAGUCAGGCGUGAAAGCCCCGGGCUCAACCUGGGAACGGCGCUUGGGACGGCGAGGCUGGAGUUCGGGAGAGGAGAGUGGAAUUCCCAGUGUAGAGGUGAAAUUUGUAGAUAUUGGGAAGAACACCGGUGGCGAAGGCGGGUCUCUGGGCAACAACUGACGCUGAGGAGCGAAAGCAUGGGGAGCGAACAGG